GGUUGUAUAGUGUAGUGGUUAUCACAUGGGAUUCUGAAAUCUCUGGAUCCAGGACCUUCCCAUGACCCCGGUUCGACUCCGGGUACGACCU